ACAAGGUCUUAAUUAGAGUAACUACUUGAAAGGUGGGCCUCUCCAAAUAAGGAAGAAAGCCUGGGAGAAUCAAAUUCCUGUGACCCAAUCCAGAGUGAGGGGUAGGGUUUACUGGACAACAGCCUACAGAGAAGUAGAUAAGGGUGUGUGAGAGUUCAGUUCUCCCCCGGAGGCCUUGGAGUGAAGUCUGAUCAGCAACUACUGUAAGGAAAAGGGAGACUAACGGUCUUGGGCUGGGAAUCAACUGGAAGUUCCUUACCUGGAAAUCGUCUUCGCCUUGCUUCUCACAUGCUUCACCUUGACUUCAGCUGCAUAGGAAAGGUGAAGGCCAGGUCAGGCCAGCUCCUAGAGAGAGCAACAAGGGCCUGAAGAGUCAACAUGAGAUACUCACCACUCACCUACCCAGGAUCUAUUUAAAAAAUUGUGUGCCCUGAGGGGGCCUCUGGGGUAUGGAGAAACCAUAUGUUUUCUCUCAGAAAUGCAUCUUGCCAUUCUCUUUGAUGUCCAGUUUUCCCUUGGAAUGUACCCUUCAGUUCUCUUCAAAAGUCACUUUGGCAAAAUUUCAUUUCCAGCCGGCCUGAGUGAAUUCAGUUGGGACAGCCUCUUCCACACCUUUCCGGGAGUUACUGAAGGACCUGUGCGCCCUGAGAGAAAGGCAGAAGAAGAGUCAAGCCAAGAAGCUCAUGCCAUCAGCUCUUCAACAAAUGACCAGCGGCCUGAGACAAUUUUGCUCUUUUAUUGUUUUGUCUUAUGUCUUCUUAAGUGAUUAUUUUUUAGUGUUUUAAAUUGUAAACUGCUUUGAGUACUUGGCAGAAAUGUGCUAAACAAAUAAAAUAAACAGAAGCUUUGCACAUUC